CCCUUAGAUGUUCUGGGCCGCACGCGCGCUACACUGAGUGGAUCAGCGGGUCAGGUUGCGCGAAAGUGUUUCCUAAUCUUUAAAUCCGCUCGUGAUGGGGAUUGACGGUUGCAAUUUUCUGUCAUGAACGAGGAAUACCUUGUAAGCGCGGGUCAUCAUCCCGCGCUGAAUACGUCCCUGCCCUUUGUACACACCGCCCGUCGCUCCUACCGAUUGAGUGGUCCGGUGAGGCUUUGGGAUCUGAGCGGAAAGAGCGUUUCGCUGUUUCUGCUCGGAAAACUCAGUCGAACCUUAUCAUUUAGAGGAAGGAGAAGUCGUAACA
rnacentral:rRNA from 1 species